rnacentral:rRNA from 1 species
UACGUAGGGUGCAAGCGUUAAUCGGAAUACUGGGCGUAAAGCGUGCGCAGGCGGUGAUGUAAGACAGGUGUGAAAUCCCCGGGCUUAACCCUGGGAACUGCAUUUGUGACUGCAUCGCUGGAGUGCGGCAGAGGGGGGGAUGGAAUUCCGCGUGUAGCAGUGAAAUGCGUAGAUAUGCGGAGGAACACCGAUGGCGAAGGCAAUCCCCUGGGCCUGCACUGACGCUCAUGCACGAAAGCGUGGG